rnacentral:lncRNA from 1 species
GGCAGUAGCGUCUACCACAACAGCGAGAUGCAGAACUCAAGAUAGCCUUUACCUCUGGGUCGGGGUGGAGUGGGGGCCGUGACGUUCGCCAUCAGGAUGUGGCUGCAGUCAGUCUGUGGAUGUCGUGGUUCGUAAGCUGGGUUUGAAUGGUACACCUGCUAAAUGAACCGGAAACACCAAGGCCAGUCUAAACAGACUGGUAGAACUCACUUGGACCACAAUCUGGGAAAGAAGCACCAGGAGAGGCAUCUACAUAACAUCAGUGCAAGUUUUAUUUGUAAGAAUUAAAAGAUAUGUAUUUGGUUGAGGAUCACUUCACAUAACUUACUCAUCACUCUCUUUGGAUUUAAAGAAUGUUCAAUUCUAACUAAAUUUGGUAUCUAAAUUUGGGCACGGGCUGGAUAGAAAGUCUGAGGCUGGAUCUGCACUUAAUCAGCGAAACACGGUACCCAUCCUCAAAGCCUGCACUCCUGCUGCCCCCGCCUAGCUGAAGCCCUGCGAGAGAAGCAUGAUUUGGGGAGGAUUGUUUGAAGGACGUGUUGCUCUGUCUAUUCCUCCGUAAAAUGCAUCUUUAAUUUCUGCAUCCAAGGACCCUCAGAACCGUACCUUCACGGCCCUUCAAAGCACUGUUUUCAGCAAGGUGCAACUUUGUGUGUUAAGUUAACAGCUCAUCUUGUGAAAUGAAAAUUACAUUGAAUUUACUGUAGAAUUUUUGUAGAGGACAUUACAAUCUUCAUUUCUUAGUGGAUGUGUAACAAGCAAACAGCCGCUGAUGAUUAAGUAGCUAGGAACUAAAGCUUUUUUUCCUUUUUGCAAUUACUGCUUGUAGCUUUUGGCUGUUUAACCCACCUGUCGAUAACUGUGCUGCUUAGGCAAUAUGCUAUCUGACUCCCACUACGCUCCUGUAGAUAACGUCUCCCUGGAGCCUGGGUCACCAUGAUAAUGGGCGUGUGAGCUGUUUUUCAGGAAUUAGAACUCCUUGUCCACUUCAGGUCGGUUGAGACCAC